rnacentral:lncRNA from 12 species
GUCCUCUGAAGUCAAAGGAAGAUUUCCCCUCCAAGUGCUUCAGUGGCAGCAAACACCACAUGUGCUCGGUGAGUUGGUGGCAUCACUGCACAAAAUCCUGCCUGGGCAUCAUUGCCCAGAGGGCCCGGCUCCCAGCAUGGCGUGGGACUUCGGCGGACAUCGAGGUGAAGCCGAGGGACGACGGGGCAAGAGGAAGCCGGAUGAGCGCCAGCGUCGAGCUCAAGAGUGGAACGGCGAGGCAAGAGCGAGCUUGGAGCUGAAGAAGGAGCACGAGAGGCCCUCUGGGCAAAAGGCCUUAGUGGCAUGGCCAGGGCACCUUCAAGGUGCCGCGGCUGACUUUGCUUGUGCUGGGCGACCUCCCUGUGCGCAGGGCUGGGUCUUUGCUCUGGUUGGCCUUUUGCCGUUGUGCUCCUUUGGCUGCCUGGAGAGAGGGGCAACCGAGAGCCCCUCUCUCCGCACCUGAGGGGGGAAACGGAGCUCCCCGCGCCCCCAGCCCGGCCGCCCUGUAAGCAGGGCAGGGCUUUUCCCCAGCUGUGGCAGCUUUCUGCCUGCUGCUGGCCCCUGGCCAGCGUGACCCCCUGUAGUAGGGGUGCGUCAUAGCCUUUGUUUGUCCCUGAAGCAGCCCUGAAGCACCUCAGCGUAUUGAGGCCCCUGUGCCCUCCCCAUGGCGCAGCGCGGUGCAGGUCUGAUGCUUUUGUUUCCCACUGAGCAGUAGGGGUGGCUCCCUCGAGCCCUUUGGCUGCACGGAACUCGCUCCCUCUUCUGGGACCGUCUUCCCCUCCCUCCCUCCCUCCCUUGUCUUUGCGGUAGGUGGUGUGUGAAUGAGCCCGGUGCGUUUGUGCUUUAGCCGCCCUUUAGGAAUAGAGCAGCGUAGCUUAAGACUUCCCCGGAGAGCAAGAGGAGCUCCGUGCAGCCACAAGCCGGUCCCCAAAAUGUUCGCGUGGGCGAAGCGUCUGGCCUCGCCCCCUGCUUUCUGAGGAGGGCACGAAGCCGCUUAACGGCAGCGUGGGCAACGUGACCCGCCUGUAGCCAGGGCCUGGGUCUGGGCCUGUGGCGCCCUUUGUGCUGGCAAACUGGCAGCGUGCGGGCCCCUUAACUCUGGGCACGUGUCAGGAACUUGCUUGUCCCUUUGUCCCCAGGAGCAGCCCCAGGUCCCUGUAAGCAGGGCGGGGCAGGCUGCUUUAGCCGGGCGACAGGAACCGCUGCGCCCGGGCCUUUGCCAGGGUGCAGGUUGAAGAAGUGCUGGUGCCGCCUCGUUGCCGAGGCUGGAGGGGCUCCCGCGCACGGCCGUCUUGCCGUGCUGCGCAGCGGCCGGCCCCUAAGUGGGGCGCAGGCCGGAGCCCGCGCUCCGUGGCGCUUGUUGGGGGGUGCCGGGCUGCGGGGGGCGGCCCCGUAGGCGGGGUUGCGUGCGCCCCCUGGUCUCGGCGGGCGGUUGGAGGGACCCCCUGUAAUCAGGCGGGUGUCCCUGGCCCCGGCCUUUAGAGGCGCGGGGCCAGGAGCGGUGGGGCCGGGCGUGUGCCCUCCCCGUAGUCGGGGCUGGGCUCCCGGCCCCCGGGGCCCCUAGCCGGCCCCCCCCCCCCCCCCCCCCCCCCCCCCCCCCCCCCCCCC